ACUGCGGAUUUGUGGACAGCUC
rnacentral:siRNA from 1 species